rnacentral:misc_RNA from 1 species
GAUGAAGAACGUAGCGAAAUGCGAUAAGUAAUGUGAAUUGCAGAAUUCAGUGAAUCAUCGAAUCUUUGAACGCACAUUGCGCCCGCCAGUAUUCUGGCGGGCAUGCCUGUCUGUGCGUCAUUUCAACCCUCAUGCCCCUAGGGCGUGGUGUUGGGGAUCGGCCAAAGCCCGCGAGGGACGGCCGGCCCCUAAAUCUAGUGGCGGACCCGUCGUGGCCUCCUCUGCGAAGUAGUGAUAUUCCGCAUCGGAGAGCGACGAGCCCCUGCCGUUAAACCCCCAACUUUCCAAGGUUGACCUCAGAUCAGGUAGGAAUACCCGCUGAACUUAAGCAUAUCAAUAAGCGGAGGA